rnacentral:rRNA from 1 species
UACGGGGGGAGCAAGCGUUGUUCGGAUUUACUGGGCGUAAAGGGCGCGUAGGCGGUCAGCACAAGUCAGUUGUGAAAUCUCCGGGCUUAACUCGGAAAGGUCAACUGAUACUGUGCGACUAGAGUGCGGAAGGGGCAACUGGAAUUCUCGGUGUAGCGGUGGAAUGCGCAGAUAUCAGGAGGAACACCAAUAGCGAAGGCAGCUCGCUGGGACGGUACUGACGCUAAGGCGCGAAAGCGUGGGGAGCGAACAGG